UUGCCUAAUGUGAUGAAACGCUCGAAGGCUGUUCCGUCGGUCACGUUUCGUUCCAAAUUAAUAGAGGGAGGAACGAUCGUUCCCGAUUGUCCGCGGUAGAGAGAGGAUAGCAGAGAGGAAAGAGAGAGCGCCCAGUUCGGUUCUUCACCUCAGAGACAGAGAUCGAUUAGCUAAACAAAGUUCUGGUUUCGAAUAGUUUGGAACUCGCACAGAGAGAGGAGAGAAGAAGGAGAAGAAGGAGCUUGCCCCCUUGUGAAAUCUCCUCUGCAGAGCAGGUAUUGGGACAAAUUUUAGGGUUUUUCUAGACCCCCUAUACAGAGAGUAUGUUCAAGACAGCAAGUCUGGGAAAUUGAAGUUUCACUUUGGUACUAUAAAAAAGAGAGAAGGUGCUGGUCCCUUUGAUAUUCACGCCCACACACUGGAUUCCCAUGUCACAACUGAUGAUUCCCUUUGCCAUUCUUUCUUUGUAAAGUAGCAAAACAGAGGAGGAAUAGUUGCAGAUAGAAUGCUUUGAAGGUCGGAAUUGGAAUUCUUUUUCAUAUUUCUGUAGGAGGGAAAAUGGAACUUAUAGCUCUAAAAGGUUUAAUGAACAAGGUCAACUACUAAUGAAGAUCAGGAUGGGGCCAUGGGUUACUCUUAGCAGACGUUUGUAAGGAUGUUAUGAUUAUUUCCCUGGCGAUUACCAGAUAAAUGUGUUACUGUUUCUUUCAUAAAUUUGUAACUGUUGAUUUAAUUACUUUUGUACAUUGUACUGCUCAUUUUACGAAUGAAUGGAAAGAGAAAAUUGUGCUUUUCUUUUUUC